CUGGCUCAGGAUGAACGCUGGCGGCGUGCCUAAUACAUGCAAGUCGAACGAGUUCUCGUUGAUGAUCGGUGCUUGCACCGAGAUUCAACAUGGAACGAGUGGCGGACGGGUGAGUAACACGUGGGUAACCUGCCCUUAAGUGGGGGAUAACAUUUGGAAACAGAUGCUAAUACCGCAUAGAUCCAAGAACCGCAUGGUUCUUGGCUGAAAGAUGGCGUAAGCUAUCGCUUUUGGAUGGACCCGCGGCGUAUUAGCUAGUUGGUGAGGUAAUGGCUCACCAAGGCGAUGAUACGUAGCCGAACUGAGAGGUUGAUCGGCCACAUUGGGACUGAGACACGGCCCAAACUCCUACGGGAGGCAGCAGUAGGGAAUCUUCCACAAUGGACGCAAGUCUGAUGGAGCAACGCCGCGUGAGUGAAGAAGGCUUUCGGGUCGUAAAACUCUGUUGUUGGAGAAGAAUGGUCGGCAGAGUAACUGUUGUCGGCGUGACGGUAUCCAACCAGAAAGCCACGGCUAACUACGUGCCAGCAGCCGCGGUAAUACGUAGGUGGCAAGCGUUAUCCGGAUUUAUUGGGCGUAAAGCGAGCGCAGGCGGUUUUUUAAGUCUGAUGUGAAAGCCCUCGGCUUAACCGAGGAAGCGCAUCGGAAACUGGGAAACUUGAGUGCAGAAGAGGACAGUGGAACUCCAUGUGUAGCGGUGAAAUGCGUAGAUAUAUGGAAGAACACCAGUGGCGAAGGCGGCUGUCUGGUCUGUAACUGACGCUGAGGCU
rnacentral:rRNA from 1 species